CACGCAGUAAACGAUGAUUACUAGGAGUUUGCGAUAGACAGUAAGCUCCCGAGCGAAAGCGUUAAGUAAUCCACCUGGGGAGUACGCCGGCAACGGUGAAACUCAAAGGAAUUGACGGGGGCCCGCACAAGCGGAGGAACAUGUGGUUUAAUUCGAUGAUACGCGAGGAACCUUACCCGGGCUUGAAUUGCAACCGAAUAAUCGAGAGAUCGAUUAGCCGCAAGGCGGUUGUGAAGGUGC
rnacentral:rRNA from 1 species